rnacentral:rRNA from 1 species
GACGAACGCUGGCGGCGUGCUUAACACAUGCAAGUCGAACGGUGAAAGCGGAGCUUGCUCCGCUGGAUCAGUGGCGAACGGGUGAGUAACACGUGGGCAACCUGCCCCUCACUUCGGGAUAACUCCGGGAAACCGGGGCUAAUACCGGAUAUGACCUCCUUGGGCAUCCUUGGAGGUGGAAAGUUUUUCGGUGAGGGAUGGGCCCGCGGCCUAUCAGCUUGUUGGUGAGGUAGUGGCUCACCAAGGCGACGACGGGUAGCCGGCCCGAGAGGGCGACCGGCCACACUGGGACUGAGACACGGCCCAGACUCCUACGGGAGGCAGCAGUGGGGAAUAUUGCGCAAUGGGCGAAAGCCUGACGCAGCAACGCCGCGUGCGGGAUGACGGCCUUCGGGUUGUAAGCCGCUUUCAGCAGGGAAGAAGCCGCAAGGUGACGGUACCUGCGGAAGAAGCACCGGCUAACUACGUGCCAGCCGCCGCGGUAA